rnacentral:rRNA from 1 species
UGGGGAAUAUUGCACAAUGGAGGGAACUCUGAUGCAGCGACGCCGCGUGAGUGAUGAAGGAAUUCGUUUCGUAAAACUCGGUUCUAUGGGAAGAAAAGGACUGUACCAUAGGAGAAAGCUCCGGCUAAAUACGUGCCAGCAGCCGCGGUAAUACGUAUGGAGCGAGCGUUGUCCGGAAUUAUUGGGCGUAAAGGGUGCGCAGGCGGCUUUACAAGUUGGAUGUGAAAUAUUGUGGCUCAACCACAAACGUGCAUCCAAAACUGCAAAGCUUGAGUUAAGGAGAGGUAAGUGGAAUUCCUGGUGUAGCGGUGGAAUGCGUAGAUAUCAGGAGGAAUACCGGUGGCGAAGGCGACUUACUGGACUUAAACUGACGCUCAGGCACGAAAGCGUGGGGAGCAAACAGG